rnacentral:rRNA from 1 species
GACGAACGCUGGCGGCGUGCCUAAUACAUGCAAGUAGAACGCACAGUUUAUACCGUAGCUUGCUACACCAUAGACUGUGAGUUGCGAACGGGUGAGUAACGCGUAGGUAACCUGCCUGGUAGCGGGGGAUAACUAUUGGAAACGAUAGCUAAUACCGCAUAAUAUUAAUUAUUGCAUGAUAAUUAAUUGAAAGGUGCAAUUGCACCACUACCAGAUGGACCUGCGUUGUAUUAGCUAGUAGGUGAGGUAACGGCUCACCUAGGCGACGAUACAUAGCCGACCUGAGAGGGUGAUCGGCCACACUGGGACUGAGACACGGCCCAGACUCCUACGGGAGGCAGCAGUAGGGAAUCUUCGGCAAUGGACGAAAGUCUGACCGAGCAACGCCGCGUGAGUGAAGAAGGUUGUCGGAUCGUAAAGCUCUGUUGUAAGAGAAGAACGGGUGUGAGAGUGGAAAGUUCACACUGUGACGGUAUCUUACCAGAAAGGGACGGCUAACUACGUA